GACACUUUCCUAGAGCCUGCCCUCUGCCCGAGUGCCCUGAAGCACAGCUCACUAAAAAGAGUUUCCCUUUACCGAGCUCCGCGGAGAACCUCUGAGGGCGAAAUGAAGGGUCAGGAGCAACGGCUGCCUGCCUCUGUACAGCAGUCAGGAUGAGGAAGUACUGCAGGCUGCCAACCGCCGUGCUGUGUGUGCUGCUGCCUCUUUCACUCUCUCUCAUGCAAAGAGGAAGGGAGCAAGAGAAUCUCAGCCAUGGCUCGGUGUCACCAGCGGAUCUGAACACGUCCAACUCCAUGGAGGUGCCCAGAGGAGUCACCAGUGCAGCAAAAAAAUAAAUUGAUAACUCACUUUUCUACUGGUAAAGGGAUAAUGUUAUAAGAACAAUAACGGUCCAAGGUAUCCCAAUAUAGAACAUGUACUUGGAGGAAAAGCAAAGGGCCACUUGACUUCAUGUCCACCUCACUUACUCACAAGCACCGCAAAGAUAGACCAGUAAUUACCAGCAUACUGAAAAUGACAACUUAUGUAUGAGGACAUUUCUUAAGAAGUUUCCAACAGGAAUAAUCUUCCAAACUGCCAAGACCUUAUACAUAAAUAAAAAACAAACACAGAAAUGGUUGAAUUGGGGAACAGCAGGCCUCUACAGUGUGAAACAGGCCAAUCAUUAAUAAAUCAUGAUGGAACAUGAAGCCUGUAUGUGGCUGGAUGAGGUGAGAUAGGUCUCAGGGGUGAAAACCCCUCAGCAGGCUCUUGGGCAACUCCUGCAUCUUGAUUCUCUGUGUUUUCCCUUCCUCUGGCCACAGGAAACAGCACUGACUGACUCCGACUCUCCACACAGACACAACACAUUUACACAGGAUAUGAGAACAAAUGCAAAAUAGGAAAUGACGGUCAUUCAGCAGAGUGUGUGGCUAAAAUAAGACUAAAAUAUGUCAUGAUCACUUUAAAUUGAGCCUAUAGUUCCAUUAUAAAUCUAUAACAUUUUAACAAAUGUUGACGAAGUUUUAGAAAAUGCAAAUACAUAUUUGAGAUAAGGGCAAAUUAGAACAUAAAGGACUUUGCUCCAAUGUAUAGUUUUUACUGUGGGUGUGAUACGUAGCACUACUCUGUGAUGUAUACUUGUCCUCAUAAAAACAAUGAUACAAUUAAAUAUAAAUAAAUAUUUGUUUCCCAUUUUUCGAGACUGCAAAACUAUUUGACAAAAUACAUAAAGAUUUAAACUUCAA